rnacentral:misc_RNA from 1 species
GAUGAAGAACGUAGCGAAAUGCGAUAAGUAAUGCGAAUUGCAGAAUUCAGUGAGUCAUCGAAUCUUUGAACGCACAUUGCGCCCUGUGGUAUUCCGCAGGGCAUGCCUGUUCGAGCGUCAUUUCAACCCUCAAGCUCUGCUUGGUGUUGGGCCCUGCCCGCUGCGGCCGGCCCUAAAGACAGUGGCGGUGCCGCCUGGCCCUGAGCGUAGUACAUCUCUCGCUCCAGUGCCCGGUGGUAGCCUGCCAGAACCCCAACUCUCGUGGUUGACCUCGGAUCAGGUAGGGAUACCCGCUGAACUUAAGCAUAUAAUAAGCGGAGGA